GCAGUCGUGGCCGAGUGGUUAAGGCGAUGGACUAGAAAUCCAUUCGGGUCUCCCCGCACAGGUUCGAAUCCUGUCGACUGCG
rnacentral:tRNA from 1 species